CUCCAGAUGUUGCUGAACUACAACUCCCAUGAUUCUCAGCCAUUCUAUUUAAUCCAUAGAAUCAUGGGAGUUGUAGUUCAGCAACAUCUGGAG